UUCUGUAGAAGAAGGACCACAAGAGUCACAAGAUGAAGACUGUGUUCCUGACUCUUCUCCUUGGUCUGGUGUGUGCUGCCCAGGAAGCUCCAGCUGAGCUAGACCCCUCACAGAUUACAGGAGACUGGCGCAGCAUUCUUACAGCUGCAGAUAACAAGGAGAAGAUUGAGGAAGAAGGCCCCCUGAGGGCAUACAUCCGUUGGCUUGAAUGUAUUGAUAGCUGUUCCUCACUAUCCAUUAAAUUUUAUGCCAAAUAUGGGUUCAAACUUUUUCGAACUGAUUCCUGUGUCAGAGAACUCAUUAGCAAUCUACAGUGAAAACUUUGAUGGUGUGAAGGUUACAAAAGUGACUCAACUCCUUGCCAAAGGAGAUGGCGCCACUGAAGAAGAAAUUCAGCACUAUGAGGAACUGAACAAAGAAAGGGGGAUUCCACCAGAACAUAUAGAAGACCUCACUC